rnacentral:rRNA from 1 species
GAAAGAUUCAUCGGAAGAGGAUGGGCAUGCGGCGCAUUAGCUAGACGGCGGGGUAACGGCCCACCGUGGCGACGAUGCGUAGGGGUUCUGAGAGGAAGGUCCCCCACACUGGUACUGAGACACGGACCAGACUCCUACGGGAGGCAGCAGUGAGGAAUAUUGGUCAAUGGGAGAGAUCCUGAACCAGCCAAGCCGCGUGAGGGAAGACGGCCCUAUGGGUUGUAAACCUCUUUUGUCGGAGAACAAAACCCGGGACGUGUCCCGGACUGCGUGUAUCCGAAGAAAAAGCAUCGGCUAACUCCGUGCCAGCAGCCGCGGUAAUACGGAGGAUGCGAGCGUUAUCCGGAUUUAUUGGGUUUAAAGGGUGCGUAGGCGGUCCGUUAAGUCAGCGGUAAAAUUGCGGGGCUCAACCCCGUCGAGCCGUUGAAACUGGCAGACUUGAGUUGGCGAGAAGUACGCGGAAUGCGCGGUGUAGCGGUGAAAUGCAUAGAUAUCGCGCAGAACUCCGAUUGCGAAGGCAGCGUACCGGCGCCAGACUGACGCUGAGGCACGAAAGCGUGGGGAUCGAACAGGAUUAGAUACCCUGGUAGUCCACGCAGUAAACGAUGAAUGCUGGUUGUCCGGGUCGAAUGAGAUCUGGGCGGC